rnacentral:sRNA from 1 species
UGACCACUUUCCUACAAGAGAGUUAAGGCCAUACGGACAGCCGGGUCAAAUGCCGA